UGGGGAAUAUUGGGCAAUGGGCGAAAGCCUUACCCAGCAACGCCGCGUGAGGGAAGAAGGUUUUCGGAUUGUAAACCUCUGUCCUGGGGGACGAAGGAAGUGACGGUACCCCGGGAGGAAGCCCCGGCUAACUACGUGCCAGCAGCCGCGGUAAUACGUAGGGGGCGAGCGUUGUCCGGAAUUAUUGGGCGUAAAGGGCGCGUAGACGGCCGAGUAAGUUAUAGGUGAAAGCCCAUCUUCAUGAGUGGAAUUGCCUGUAAUACUGCCUGGCUUGAGUGCAGGAGAGGGAAGCGGAAUUCCUAGUGUAGCGGUGAAAUGCGUAGAUAUUAGGAGGAACACCAGUGGCGAAGGCGGCUUUCUGGACUGUAACUGACGUUGAGGCGCGAAAGCGUGGGGAGCAAACAGGAUUAGAUACC
rnacentral:rRNA from 1 species